rnacentral:tRNA from 1 species
UAUGUUGGGUGUAAUGGUAGCAUAUUUGUCGCAAAAACAUAGCGGUGUGGGUUCGAAUCCCACAUGUA